AGUGAACGCUGGCGGUAGGCCUAACACAUGCAAGUCGAACGGCAGCACAGUAAGAGCUUGCUCUUACGGGUGGCGAGUGUCGGACGGGUGAGGUAUACAUCGGAAUCUACUUUUUCGUGGGGGAUAACGUAGGGAAACUUACGCUAAUACCGCAUACGACCUACGGGUGAAAGCAGGGGAUCUUCGGACCUUGCGCGUUUGAAUGAGCCGAUGUCGGAUUAGCUAGUUGGCGGGGUAAAGGCCCACCAAGGCGACGAUCCGUAGCUGGUCUGAGAGGAUGAUCAGCCACACUGGAACUGAGACACGGUCCAGACUCCUACGGGAGGCAGCAGUGGGGAAUAUUGGACAAUGGGCGCAAGCCUGAUCCAGCCAUACCGCGUGGGUGAAGAAGGCCUUCGGGUUGUAAAGCCCUUUUGUUGGGAAAGAAAAGCAGCAGGUUAAUACCCCGCUGUUCUGACGGUACCCAAAGAAUAAGCACCGGCUAACUUCGUG
rnacentral:rRNA from 1 species